rnacentral:rRNA from 1 species
UGGGGGAGGACGUUAUCGACGGUACCCCAUGAAUAAGGAGCUGCCAAUCUCGUGCCAGCAGCAGCGGUAAUACGAGAGCUCCCAGCGUUAUCCGGAAUUCCUGGGCGUAAAGCGUAUGUAGGCGGCGAUGUUAGUCUUCCGUGAAAUCUCUCGGCUUAACCGGGAGCAUGCGGAGGAAACGGCAUUGCUAGAAUCCGUAAGAGGUCUGUGGAACUCAUCAUGUAGGGGUGAAAUCCGUUGAUAUGAU